GCAAGGGGGGGGGGUGCUAUACAUGCAAGUCGAACGCUUUGUGGUUCAACUGAUUUGAAGAGCUUGCUCAGAUAUGACGAUGGACAUUGCAAAGAGUGGCGAACGGGUGAGUAACACGUGGGAAACCUACCUCUUAGCAGGGGAUAACAUUUGGAAACAGAUGCUAAUACCGUAUAACAAUGACAACCGCAUGGUUGUUAUUUGAAAGAUGGUUCUGCUAUCACUAAGAGAUGGUCCCGCGGUGCAUUAGCUAGUUGGUAAGGUAAUGGCUUACCAAGGCGAUGAUGCAUAGCCGAGUUGAGAGACUGAUCGGCCACAAUGGGACUGAGACACGGCCCAUACUCCUACGGGAGGCAGCAGUAGGGAAUCUUCCACAAUGGGCGAAAGCCUGAUGGAGCAACGCCGCGUGUGUGAUGAAGGGUUUCGGCUCGUAAAACACUGUUGUAAGAGAAGAAUGACAUUGAGAGUAACUGUUCAAUGUGUGACGGUAUCUUACCAGAAAGGAACGGCUAAAUACGUGCCAGCAGCCGCGGUAAUACGUAUGUUCCAAGCGUUAUCCGGAUUUAUUGGGCGUAAAGCGAGCGCAGACGGUUAUUUAAGUCUGAAGUGAAAGCCCUCAGCUCAACUGAGGAAUUGCUUUGGAAACUGGAUGACUUGAGUGCAGUAGAGGAAAGUGGAACUCCAUGUGUAGCGGUGAAAUGCGUAGAUAUAUGGAAGAACACCAGUGGCGAAGGCGGCUUUCUGGACUGUAACUGACGUUGAGGCUCGAAAGUGUGGGUAGCAAACAGGAUUAGAUACCCUGGUAGUCCACACCGUAAACGAUGAGUGCUAGGUGUUUGAGGGUUUCCGCCCUUAAGUGCCGCAGCUAACGCAUUAAGCACUCCGCCUGGGGAGUACGACCGCAAGGUUGAAACUCAAAGGAAUUGACGGGGACCCGCACAAGCGGUGGAGCAUGUGGUUUAAUUCGAAGCAACGCGAAGAACCUUACCAGGUCUUGACAUCCCUUGACAACUCCAGAGAUGGAGCGUUCCCUUCGGGGACAAGGUGACAGGUGGUGCAUGGUUGUCGUCAGCUCGUGUCGUGAGAUGUUGGGUUAAGUCCCGCAACGAGCGCAACCCUUAUUACUAGUUGCCAGCAUUCAGUUGGGCACUCUAGUGAGACUGCCGGUGACAAACCGGAGGAAGGUGGGGAUGACGUCAAAUCAUCAUGCCCCUUAUGACCUGGGCUACACACGUGCUACAAUGGCGUAUACAACGAGUUGCCAACCCGCGAGGGUGAGCUAAUCUCUUAAAGUACGUCUCAGUUCGGAUUGUAGGCUGCAACUCGCCUACAUGAAGUCGGAAUCGCUAGUAAUCGCGGAUCAGCACGCCGCGGUGAAUACGUUCCCGGGUCUUGUACACACCGCCCGUCACACCAUGAGAGUUUGUAACACCCAAAGCCGGUGGGGUAACCUUCGGGAGCCAGCCGUCUAAGGUGACAAGGUGG
rnacentral:rRNA from 1 species